CAGGGAAACAAUCCCAGCACCAGGGAAAUAAGAGGAUAGAGUGUUUAUACUUGGUCAGAAGUGACAGCUCAGAAGAGUUAAACUAAGGUGCAAAGCGGGAAGAGAAGCCACAUGUUCAGGACUGACAGUGAAAGAUGAGAGAACCACAGGGCCUCUGCCUUUUUCCCUCCAAAGCGGGUAUGUGGACUCCUCACAACUAAGGCAGAAGGGCUGCUUUCUGGGGCAUCAUCACUCCCUGAAGGUGUGCCACUGGGCACCUGGAAGCAUGUGCAAAGGAUCCUACCAUCGAACACUGUUCUGAGAUGGAAAAUUAAUGGUACUCAGCAACACAGAGGACAUGCAAACAGCAGCCCAGGACAGACAAGGAUGACAGAGCCUUA